rnacentral:rRNA from 1 species
AACGCGAAGAACCUUACCUGGGUUUGAACUUCAGUGGCAAGGCUCAGAGAUGAGUCCCUCCCUUCGGGGAUCGCUGGAGAGGUGCUGCAUGGCUGUCGUCAGCUCGUGUCGUGAGAUGUUGGGUUAAGUCCCGCAACGAGCGCAACCCUUAUCCCUAGUUGCCAUCGGGUCAAGCCGGGCACUCUAGUGAAACCGCCCGGGAUAACCGGGAGGAAGGUGGGGAUGACGUCAAGUCCUCAUGGCCUUUAUGUCCAGGGCUACACACGUGCUACAAUGGUCGGUACAAACCGUCGCAAACCCGCGAGGGGGAGCUAAUCGGAAAAAGCCGGCCUCAGUUCGGAUUGGAGUCUGCAACCCGACUCCAUGAAGCUGGAAUCGCUAGUAAUCGCGGAUCAGAACGCCGCGGUGAAUACGUUCCCGGGCCUUGUACACACCGAGUAUA